ACGGAAGGCAGCAGUGGGGAAUAUUGCACAAUGGGGGAAACCCUGAUGCAGCGACGCCGCGUGAGUGAAGAAGUAUUUCGGUAUGUAAAGCUCUAUCAGCAGGGAAGAUAAUGACGGUACCUGACUAAGAAGCCCGGCUAACUACGUGCCAGCAGCCGCGGUAAUACGUAGGGGGCAAGCGUUAUCCGGAUUUACUGGGUGUAAAGGGUGCGUAGGUGGUAUGGCAAGUCAGAAGUGAAAACCCGGGGCUCAACCCCGUGGAUUGCUUUUGAAACUGUCAAACUAGAGUACCGGAGAGGUAAGCGGAAUUCCUAGUGUAGCGGUGAAAUGCGUAGAUAUUAGGAGGAACACCAGUGGCGAAGGCGGCUUACUGGACUGUAACUGACGUUGAGGCUCGAAAGCGUGGGGAGCAAACAGGAUUAGAUACCCUGGUA
rnacentral:rRNA from 1 species